rnacentral:rRNA from 1 species
UUGAAAGGGAAACGAUUGAAGUCAGUCGGACCGACGAGAAACAGCUUUUCGAAUGUGCAUUUGUGGGCGUAUGAGAUCUUCAUUGUUUGCAAUAUGUAUGUUUCUUUGGUGUACUUUUUCGUAUGGUAGGUCAACGUCGGUUUUGGUCGCCGUAAAAUGAUCGGAGGAAUGUAGCUUCGACCUCGGUUGAAGUGUUAUAGCCUUUGGUAAAUGUGGUGAUUAAGACCGAGGAUUGCAACGAAUACCUUUUAGGCUAUCCGUCUGACCUCUGAAAGUUACUUAGGUGCCGAAAGCUUGCUUACGGUCAUUUAAGUUGACGGUCAAUAGGUUAGAACGUGAUUACAUUCGUUAAGGAUGUUGACGUA